AUGGAGGAUCUAGAUGCCGCAUCGUCUCUGCCGGCGAUGGCGGAUCCUGAUCCUGUUUUGCUUCAAGUGGCGAUGCAAGAUCCUAUUACUGCCUGGCUGGGGCCUGUCGGCCCCCUCCUCCGGAAACUCCAUCUCGCACACAGUCUGCCUCCAGAUCUGCUCAGAGAUGAUGAUGAUAUUCGUCGUCUCAAGGACUUAUGCAUGUGCCUGAAAAUUAUGUCGGAAGACCAGGACGCUAACUGCAUGGUCCAGUGGUGGAUGAAGAUGGCUCGGGAGCUUUGUUAUGACACGGAUGAUCUCCUAGACGAGUUCAGCGGCAUCGGGCUUCAUCUCCAUUUUCCAGCUCGUGCGAAGGAUGAACUUUCAGGAUUACUUGCCCGUGUUAAGGAUGCGUGUGAAAGGCGACAGCGUUUCCAGUUGUCUUCUCCAAAGGCUGGCGGGGCGGAAGCCGGUGCCAGCGGCCUCACAGUUCCCAUCUCCGGCUGUAGCACAGUUAGUCAUGUGGAGCUCCCAGAGCAACUUGUGGAGCUGCUAGCUUUAGACGACGACCAGAAGACACUCAAGGUGAUACCUAUAACUGGAUGUGCAGGUGUGGGGAAGACAACAGUUGCAAGAGCCUUGUAUCACAGGCAUGGGUGGAAAUUUCAGUGCCGGGCUUUCGUAACUGUGUCACGGAAUCCACAUAUGAGGGGAUUUCUCACUAGCAUGCUCUCACAGCUUAAAGCGCCAUGGCUCAAUGGCUUUCCUGAUGUGCCGGACCUUAUUCAUGCUAUCAGCAAACAUCUCCGAGGCAAAAGGUAA
rnacentral:rRNA from 1 species